UAUAUAUUUUUACAGGUAUGGUUUUUCAAGCGAAUUGGUGUUUCAAGUCAUUUACCUGCUCUUGUUCUGUCUUCAGAAUCAACUACAAAAGGAAAAAAGAUUCCAGAGUCAUGGCAAAAGAUGGAUUAUCGUAAUGUGUCAGUUCACUGUGUUUGGGACAAUGUGAAACUACA